rnacentral:rRNA from 1 species
AUACGUAGGGGCGAGCGUUGUCCGGAAUGAUUGGGCGUAAAGGGCGCGUAGGCGGCCCGGUAAGUCUGGAGUGAAAGUCCUGUUUUUAAGAUGGGAAUUGCUUUGGAUACUGUCGGGCUUGAGUGCAGGAGAGGUAAGUGGAAUUCCCAGUGUAGCGGUGAAAUGCGUAGAGAUUGGGAGGAACACCAGUGGCGAAGGCGACUUACUGGACUGUAACUGACGCUGAGGCGCGAAAGUGUGGGGAGCAAACAGGAUUAGAUACCCUGGUAGUCCACACCGUAAACGAUGAAUGCUAGGUGUAGGGGGUAUCGACCCCUUCUGUGCCGCAGUCAACACAAUAAGCAUUCCGCCUGGGGAGUACGGCCGCAAGGUUGAAACUCAAAGGAAUUGACGGGG